AAGAGCUUCACUCCCCUCACCGCCCUCCUUCACCAGGCUCCUUCGACCAGGGUAAUUCUUUGGGUUUAAAGGAGAAAGAAAAUUUGUUACAUUCCUUCCCACCCAGCCCCCGCCCCCAUCAGCCUCUUCAUCAAGCAAAACUGCAAACAGCACACCCCUGGCUCACCCCACCUUCAGAGCUGAGCUUCUGAGAGAGGUUUCAAUACUGUUCCAUGCUGCAGGAGGAGACAGCCUUAAACUCUGAAGGAUUUCAUCUCCGUUGCCCUUUACCCCCAGGGGAUUUAGAAACCUAGCAUUGACAGCAGCCAAAUGCAGGGCCAGGCUGGGCACAGAGGAACAUCACUCCCCCACCCCAUACAAUUCUCAGGGUAACUAUUUUAUUAUUGUAAGUACUAGUAUUCCUUUCCAUUUCAUUUCUAGAAAAUUCAGAAAGCACUUUCUGAAACAUAAUUUUUUUUUAAAUGUCAGUCAUACAUUUAGAAGUAAGGGGUUGACGGGAUUAACUGAAAGGCUAAUGACUGUCUCAAAAGCACAUGCGGUUGCUAGGGAACUCAAGCUCAUCCCGCUCUCUAAUCACCAGCGUGUUAGGUGGAACUCAAACUGCUCAGGGUGUUAUUAAAAUGAAUGGCAUUUGGUUAAAGACUUUCUUGCUAUGUUGUAGCAUCCUGGAUUAUUAUCGAUUGCCUCACACCCACAUAUCUUGUUUUCCUAAUUUGAUUUCUGUAUUUGCGUCACUGCCAGGGACACUCAGACUAGACCAGUCAGGUUCACUUCCUGUUUCUCAGAACUGGUUUAUAUUUGGUCUCAAAGCACUAGCUGGUAAAACAUUAUCAAACUGGUCCUCUUGGACAGAAACCUCUGCUUUCCGUUGAAAACAAAUUAUCCCAAUUAAAUGCUAACUCCCAUGGAAAACGUCAUCAUUUGAGGAAUAAGGUAGCCUGCCAACCUACUUUAUUAAGAAAUCCAUUCUUGAAAUGUAAAGCCAAAAAAAAAAAAAACCCACAUCAUCUUUAUUUCUUUUACCCAGAAUCUUCAGUCUUCAGCGUUGGAACUAAAACAAACUCAAGUAGAAAACAGAUUUAAAUAUGAUAUUUCUAAAAUGAAGCCCCCCAAAAAAUACACAUGGAAACUGGGGA
rnacentral:lncRNA from 1 species